rnacentral:rRNA from 1 species
AUUGAACGCUGGCGGCAGGCCUAACACAUGCAAGUCGAACGAGUGGCGGACGGGUGAGUAAUGUCUGGGAAACUGCCUGAUGGAGGGGGAUAACUACUGGAAACGGUAGCUAAUACCGCAUACCAUCAGAUGUGCCCAGAUGGGAUUAGCUAGUUGGUGGGGUAACGGCUCACCAAGGCGACGAUCCCUAGCUGGUCUGAGAGGAUGACGAGGCACACUGGAAUUGAGACACGGGCAAGAGUCCUACGGGAGGCAGCAGGGGGGAAGCGUGCAGCAUGGGGGGAAGCCUGAUGCAGCCCAGCGGCGUGUAUGAAGAAGGACGUCGGGUUGUAAAGUACUUUCAGCGGGGAGGCGUUACCCGCAGAAAAAGCACCGGCUAACUCCGUUCCAGCAGCCGCGGUAAUAC